UUUUUUUGUUGUUGCCUCAUGCCAUU
rnacentral:piRNA from 1 species